GCCUUCGUGGUGUAACGGUAGCACACUCGGUUCGUAUUCGAGGGAUCCAGGUUUGAGUCCCGGCGAGGGUA
rnacentral:tRNA from 1 species